CUGCUGCCUUCCGUAGGAGUCUGGUCCGUGUCUCAGUACCAGUGUGGGGGACCUUCCUCUCAGAACCCCUACGCAUCGUCGCCUCGGUGGGCCGUUACCCCGCCGACUAGCUAAUGCGCCGCAUGCCCAUCCGUAGCCGGAAUCGCUUCCUUUAAUCCCUCAGGGAUGCCCCCGAAAGAUAUUACGCGGUAUUAGACGGAAUUUCUUCCGCUUAUCCCCCUGCUACGGGCAGGUCGCAUACGUGUUACUCACCCGUGCGCCGGUCGCCGU
rnacentral:rRNA from 1 species